UUUUAUUAACAGAUUUCUUCCACACCCACGGCCCAACACUUCUACUUAAUGUUUUUAUUUAUCCCCUAAAUUGACAUAAUGCCUUCAAUAAUAUAAACGUAGUGUUUACUGCAUUCAUGUACACCAUAUAUAUAUAUAUAUAUAUUAAGAAAAUAUACAUCAAAAAACCAUGUGCCAGAUCCGUUUUCCAGAGUAGAACAAAAUUCUUGAUAAAGGACGACUACACUUGUAAGCUAUUACUUUUAAAAUAUUUAUCACACUAUGUUACAUUGAAAAAUUAUAGAACAUGUUUUACAAAAAAAAAUAAAAAAUAAAAAAUAAAAAAUAGGGUGUAAAAGAAUAAUGAUGCAGUAAUGCCUACAAAAUGCUGGUAUGAAACUGCA
rnacentral:lncRNA from 1 species